ensembl:lincRNA
AAAUAUUAUAAAAUAUUAUAAAAUAUUAUAAAAUAUUUUAAUAAAUAAGCAGGGCUCUAGAAAAAAUUGGGAUUUUGCAGGCAUCCAGUCUGGAAUGCAUUGAAGUGUCUGCCCUUCCCCCACCUCAGCUAGACCUUUCAAUUCCAAUUUGCUAAUUUGGGAAUAGAGCAAAGAAUUUGGAGGGAGAUAAGGAACUGUCUGUCUCUUUAAGAAGAAACUACAAACACAAGGAAGCAAAUGUACUGUAGGAGACUCUAAGAGGUUAAACAGUGACAAAAAUGCUUGGCUGUCAUUGGAGGUGGUGUGAGGAGUAAAACAGGCCAUUGUCCACUGGUGGGAACCAAGCUGCAAAUCCGAAUUCAUGGAAACUGGUCUCCAGAUGUGCUCCUGUCACCUGCAUCCAGUGGUCCUGAUGCAUCAACUUGAAGCUGAAAUUUGAUUCCCUAGAAAUGUUAUUUGGGCCACUUUGUUCAGAUAUGACAGAGAUGUGUCUGGAAGUGGAUUGAAUCAACCCAUUCCUGUCGCAUCCUGGAUUUUUAAACCAUGGGAAAACCUGAAUAAACUUUCUAGCUUCACUUGUUUGUAGUUUCUUGCUUUUAGUUGACUU